AUUGAACGCUGGCGGCAGGCCUAACACAUGCAAGUCGAACGAGUGGCGGACGGGUGAGUAAUGUCUGGGAAACUGCCCGAUGGAGGGGGAUAACUACUGGAAACGGUAGCUAAUACCGCAUACCAUCAGAUGUGCCCAGAUGGGAUGAGCUAGUUGGUGGGUUAACGGCGCACCUAGGCGACGAUCCCUAGCUGGUCUGAGAGGAUGACCAGCCACACUGGAACUGAGACACGGUCCAGACUCCUACGGGAGGCAGCAGUGGGGAAGAUUGCACAAUGGGCGCAAGCCUGAUGCAGCCAUGCCGCGUGUAUGAAGAAGGCCUUCGGGUUGUAAAGUACUUUCAGCGAGGAGGCGUUACCCGCAGAAGAAGCACCGGCUAACUCCGUGCCAGCAGCCGCGGUAAUUC
rnacentral:rRNA from 1 species